UACGUAGGGUGCGAGCGUUAAUCGGAAUUACUGGGCGUAAAGCGUGCGCAGGCGGCUUCGCAAGUCAGACGUGAAAUCCCCGGGCUUAACCUGGGAAUGGCGUUUGAAACUACGGAGCUGGAGUGUGGCAGAGGGAGGUAGAAUUCCACGUGUAGCGGUGAAAUGCGUAGAGAUGUGGAGGAACACCGAUGGCGAAGGCAGCCCCCUGGGUUAACACUGACGCUCAGGCACGAAAGCGUGGGGAGCAAACAGG
rnacentral:rRNA from 1 species